UACGAAGGGGGCUAGCGUUGCUCGGAAUCACUGGGCGUAAAGCGCACGUAGGCGGAUUGUUAAGUCAGGGGUGAAAUCCUGGAGCUCAACUCCAGAACUGCCUUUGAUACUGGCGAUCUUGAGUCCGGGAGAGGUGAGUGGAACUGCGAGUGUAGAGGUGAAAUUCGUAGAUAUUCGCAAGAACACCAGUGGCGAAGGCGGCAUCCUGGACCAAUUCUGACACUGAGGAGCGAAAGCCAGGGGAGCAAACGGG
rnacentral:rRNA from 1 species